rnacentral:rRNA from 1 species
AUGAAUUAUAAAAGCCAUUUGCAAGCGUGGACUCAAAGGAAUAAUCAGAACUUGCCAGCUUAUUAUACUGAGUCGAAACAUGACCAUCAUCGACUUGAGUUCAGAAGCACCGUUAAGGUGGGUGGCGAGCGGUUUCAAUCAGCUCGCAAUCAUAGCCGCCGGAAGGAUGCAGAGCAGGAUGCUGCCAGAGUGGCCUAUGAAAUAUUGGUGACAAAGACAAUAAAUGAUGAUGAUCAUACAGACGUGCUUGGGCUGUCAUGUCAGGGCGUGGUGUUCUGCAAAUCAAUUCUCCAUGAAUUUGCUGUUAAGACAAAAGCUGAUCAGCCCACUUACUCCACAGAUCAUCUAGAAGGGGUAUCACCCAUGACCCUGUUUGUUUCAUCAGUGUUGUUUUCUGGGAAAACUUAUACUGGUGAAGCUGCAGUAAGUAAGAAGGACGCAGAGCAGAAGGCUGCUCAUGUUGCAGUCAAAUCUAUUUUAGCUACAAAGAAUAAUUGUAUGCAACAAAUUGUCAGAUCGAAGAAACAGCUUAUCAUUGCCAUCACAUCUUCUGGGUUCAACAAAGAAAGAGGAGUUGUAAGCCAGGAAAAAUGCAAUGCUCCAACAAAUGCAAUUACUACUAUCGCUCCUGAAGAUGCUGGUCUAACUGCGGAUCAAGGAGCGACCAUCUUUCAUGAAGAUGAUGGAUCGCAAAAGCGCAAGAAACACAGAAAGGUUUGA